rnacentral:lncRNA from 1 species
UUUGAUGAAUGCUUUCUUGCAACUCCAUAAGCUAAAAACCAUUUAGUUGAAGUUAAACCACCAUAGGGGUUUUCAUUAUAAAUUGAUCAUACAUUUUUUCAAUUUCUACCCAUGGAAAGGAGAAAAAAUAUGGCUAAAAUACUCAAAUUUGUUUAUGUUAUGGUCACAUUUCUUUUCAGAUUUCUUGUUGUAACCAAUGGCUGUAAGUCCAUUAAUUUUCUCACAUUUAUCAAAUUUUGUUCUUUAUCUUAUACAUAUAUAAUACUUUAUCCCUUUUAAUUAUAUUUAUUUUUUUACAUCACAGUAACCAUAUAUUGCAAAUCUCGUGAUACUUGUCCCGAUUAUAAUUGUCCAUUUCCUGAAGUUACAAUUUGCGACGUGGUUUGUCAGUGUGGAAUACUGAAGGAAACUAGUUAGAAAAUAAUAUUAUCGUACUUGUAAGAAAAAAUUGAAUUAAAGCAAGUUGAUUUAUUUUGUUUAGAUUUUAGAUUAAAUAAAUUAACUUUUUUAACUAAUUUUUUAUUAUAUUUUGGAACAAAAGAAGUAUGCAUACAUGCAUAAAUAUAAAACUGUUACGAUUUAUGUAUAAUGUUGUUAUUAAUAAAUAUAAUAUUGUCAUUUAUUAAAUAAUGUUAUAAUUGCAAAUACACUUGGUAUUAGGCAUUUUAAGCCUAUGAAAGAAAAUGAAUUUGGAAGCUUGAGAGUUUAGAAAAGAGAGGAAAUUCUCAAGUAACUAACAAACUACCAAUCAAUCUAACCACUAACUAACUCCAACUAAAUGCUAACUAAUUCUAACAAACUAACUAACUCUUAUUAUUCUUAACAACCUCCUUCAAAUUGAUAGGGGAUAAUAAUCACCACCAACUUGAAAUACAAUCAUUUAAACACAGAAAACAAAAUAGUGUUUUUUAAAUGAGUAAUCAAACUAUGGGCUAACAAUAAGCCCUUUUGCAAAGAAAUCCAAAGCAUGCAGCAUCUAUUGGACCAAACCAUACACUUUAAAACCUUCAUAAUUCCAUGUUGCAAUGGAAUGGAACACAACUUUAAGAUUAUGUUAUGUGGCAACAAAAUAAUCUCCAUAAAUGCGUUGUUUUCACUCUCCUGCAACUCCAUCAACGCUUGUGCAAACCUUGAUAACUUAGUAUCUUCACUCAUCGAGUUAGUUAAAUUUACUUUUUCAAAAUUUUAGUUUUCUUAAUUUUUCUUUAAAAUCUCCAACUUUUCCGUUUAAGAAUUCCAUUAUUUUGUUUCGUUCUUCAUCAUUGUAAGUUCGAUUCAUGUGAAAUCAAUGCCAAAACGAUUAUAUAAAUAGUGGCUACAUCAUUCACUACUUAUUUUUUUUCUAAUUUGGGGUAAGUUUCUUUGAUCUAAUUUGAAAAUUAACCCUUGUAGAGUGUGUUUUUAUAUUUUAUUUUUGACUUUUACCUAAAAAUCAUGAAGUUGGACCGAUCGGAGGACGAAGAGUCAAAGGAACAAAGGUUUUCCGCUUGUGGGCUUGGAUUAACGUGCGAAAGCGUCAAAGUAAAAUAAAGAGUGAGAGAACGUUUGAAUUCAUGAGUAUAAUAUAAUUAUUUUUUGAUUAUUCAUAUGAGACUUGCUACAUAUGGAUCUAGUACUUUGAGGGAUAAAUUAAUUAAUGUGAAAAUAUAGGAAUUGUAAGUUUAAAAUGUGGAAUAGAAACAUUUAUAAGAUGUUGAU